rnacentral:rRNA from 1 species
UAAUACGGAGGAUGCGAGCGUUAUCCGGAAUCAUUGGGUUUAAAGGGUCCGUAGGCGGUUUAAUAAGUCAGUGGUGAAAUCUGGUCGCUCAACGAUCAAACUGCCAUUGAUACUGUUAGACUUGAAUUACUGUGAAGUAACUAGAAUAUGUAGUGUAGCGGUGAAAUGCUUAGAUAUUACAUGGAAUACCAAUUGCGAAGGCAGGUUACUAACAGUGGAUUGACGCUGAUGGACGAAAGCGUGGGGAGCGAACAGG